rnacentral:piRNA from 1 species
UCAGGAUUGGUGUGCCUCCAGGC